rnacentral:rRNA from 1 species
UACAGAGGUCUCAAGCGUUGUUCGGAUUCAUUGGGCGUAAAGGGCGCGUAGGCGGCGGGGUAAGUCGGGUGUGAAAUCUCAGAGCUCAACUCUGAAAUGGCACUUGAUACUGCUCUGCUAGAGGACUGGAGAGGAGAUUGGAAUUCACGGUGUAGCAGUGAAAUGCGUAGAUAUCGGGAGGAACACCGGUGGCGAAGGCGGCGACCUGGGUCGACACUGACACUGAGGAGCGAAAGCCAGGGGAGGCAAACGGG